GAUGAACGCUGGCGGCGUGCCUAAUACAUGCAAGUCGAGCGAACAGAUGAGGAUCGUUCGCCUCUGACGUUAGCGGCGGACGCGUGAGUGACACACGGAUAACCAACCUACAUGACAGGGGUAACUUCGGGGAACAGGAGCGAAUACCUAAUAAGUACUUUAACCGCUUGGUACAAUAGGGAAAGACGGUUUUGCUGUCACUGAUAGAUGGAUCCGCGCCGUAUUAGCGUUUUGGUAAGGUAACGGCUUACCAAGGCAACGAUGCGUAGCAGACCUGAGAGGGUGAUCGGCCCCACUGGAACUGAGACACGGUCCAGACUCCUACGGGAGGCAGCAGUAGGGAAUCUUCCGCAAUGGGCGAAGGGCUGACGGAGCAACGCCGCGUGAGUGAUGAAGGUCUUCGGAUCGUAAAACUCUGUUAUUAGGGAAGAACAAAUGUGUGAGUAACUAUGCACGUCUUGACGGUACCUAAUCAGAAAGCCACGGCUAACUCCGUG
rnacentral:rRNA from 1 species